AUGUGCUGGAAAAAGUACAUACAGCUAGUUAGGAAGAAUGCAUCCAAUUGGCAGGAAAUUAGCAGGAAGUGGCCAAUGUUUUGUUCUGCUUUCAUUUUCCAGUUGUACAAUGACGUUCAGGCCCGCAGAGGAGCAAACGAUGUCGCUCCUGACAACCAGAAGAAUGGCGGCGAGCUGGAGUGUGGCCUUGGGCACCAUGGCAACAGCCUUUUUGUGCCCGGCCAUCACAGCAACAGUCGCCCUGGAACCGUGACGGUGCCACAUGACUAUAGUAACGCCUGUAACUACAACGCUAAUGGCUACAGCUUCCCCGUGAGUCAUCAGAAUGGCUACAGUUACCGCCACACCAGCUCAGAGAUCGGAGACCUACUGCAGGAUUACUUGGAACAGGGGAAACAAAUGAGCCGGAAGACGAACGGACCUCGCCACGUGCACUUCAGUGACACAAUCAAAGUGAGUCAGGACAUCCCUGAGGUCAGAAGAAGAUAUGAAAAUGACAGGUUUGGUCAUGAGCAGCUUCGGGACAGUUUUGAGCAGACUGAAAACAGAAAGAACCAUGUGUCUCACACGAAGAGCUCCCCCAACAAAGAAAACACAGGUGCCAAGCCCCCUCUCGCACAAAGGGAUUCUCCUGCUGUACAGCCACGCUCCCAGCACCCAGCUAAGACUGUUGAAUCUCCCGCUCUGGACAGAAAGUCCUUCAGUCCAGGCGUCCUCGGAGACAAAAAGUGCAGCAGCCCCUCCGUUCUCAGGAAGUUUGGCGCCAUGCUGCAGGAAAACGAGGGCAAAAUGCUCACUGAGACAGGGGUGGUGACCCCUCAGGGUUUGGCCCUGGAGCCAAAGUGCCCCACCCCGGGCUGUCAGCGCAGAGCUCUGGGAGCCACUGCAGUCGCCGGCAGGGCGCCCGCACGUAUGCCCACCCAGAAAUGCCAAGCAGAUUCUGAUGUGCUGACAGCAGAGAUAGAGCUCAGCCAAGAGAGGGGGUUAGUGUCAGACUCUGGUAGACAGUACCACAAAGAUCAGAGAGGAGGCUACAGUGGCCCUAAAGGUUCGCAGCCCAGUCCUCAGCAGUCCCAGAGGAGAUCACACGUGGCGGGCAGCCCAAAGAUUAGACCCAGGACAAACAGUGGGGCGGACAGAGAUGGAAGAAGGAAGGCUGCACCCCAACAUCUGGAGCACAAAAUGGACUCUAGGGUGCCAAGUGCUCCCUCUGGAUCUCAGAGGAUUCAGAGGGCUGGGUUAUCGGGGCAGGAGUUGCCAGGUUGUGGCCGAGUGAGGGAUGAAGGACUUAUUGAGCUGCUGGACAUGCUGGACAUCGAACAUGAGUUCAGCUCCAGUCCCAGAACGGGUCACGCAGCUCACAGACAGGAGCCACAGCAGGUAAAUCCAGCCGCGUCGUCGCCAGUAGAAGCGAGGAGGAGCUUCUCUCGUCCUGCACGGCCAGCCAACCAGCGACCUCCAUCCAGGUGGGCCAGCCACACCCCAACUGCCAGGAUCAGCGCCCCGUCGGGCCCAGUGUAUCGUUCCCCAAGCCCCAUGACCAGAACCCCAAGUCCAGCCCCGAGGCAUCGGCCGCUCAUCUCCUACUCUCUUCAGACUGAGACGGUCAUUAUGUGAUACUGUCCCAUUUCAGUAAUGCUUGAUCCCUCCCCAGGGAAACCCCUCCUGUGGUUCCCACCCAACACCCUCUAUGUAAAUAGCCAGAACUGUUCCGGUAAUGUGCUUUACGAGAGUGGCUGAGAAGUGCUUCAUUUCAUCUUGAUGCCGUGUUCAAGAUAAACCACAUCCAUGACAUUCUCCAGUGUUGCUGUGGCUUUUUGCUUCUUCUGUGCCUGACGUUAGCCAACAGUCCCGCCCCCCUUAUCCACCUUUCUCCUCUAUUGUAUUGUAUUUUAAGGAGUUCUGAGUAUAAAGAGAUUUAGCAUGCAGCCCUAGAAUGGGGGUGCAUGCUCAUGUGUUUAAUCCUCAGGGUUGCCACGCUGAAUUUGAUUCAGCGUGGCAACCGGUGGGGAGUGGAUUAAUUUGCAACUGUGCUCCAAGCAGCAACCUGCUAACUGUCAACAACAAGUGUGUUUUACUGUAUCAUAUUGUCAAAGUGAUAUAUUUAAGAUGUUCAAAUGCCAGCUGUGGAAAAAAAUGACUAUGAUAUGCCUUUAAUGUAUUUUUUUUUUCUUGGUAAUAAAUAUGACAGUGCUUUGACACGAAGACUCUGUCUCUGUCCAUCGCAGCAUUGCAUUGUUCUGUUCUAUGAAUGACGGCCCAUGUUUCAGGGUGUUGAUGAUUUGCUGCAGGUCAUCCCUAAGGAUAUUGGACACCAGCGACUCCCUGCAUGUCAGUGCUGUGGCAGCCCACGUAGUGUUGCCAUUGCGGAUGAGCCGUGUUCCCCAACUCCAACACACCGGCUGGUUCAAACACAACCUGAGGAGCUGCGUGAUGUGUCAACCUACACAUAGUUCUCUUAUUACUGUGAUUGUUGAGGCUUAUACGUGAUACAGCACUUGAAUUAUAUAGAUUUAAUUUAAAAGAAAAUACAACAUUUGCCACGCUUAAUUUGCUGUACAUUAACACCGCAGUGUUGGCACAGGAGAAGUUAUGCUACCCAUCGUUACCAGGAUAUCCAGUGUGUGUGCACCGUGACGGAUCAGUUUCAUGCUCUGUGUUUCUCGCCUCUGCACCGACAACCUUCGGCUUCCCUGACACCUCCUUCUCUGUGGAAGGUGUGGACACGCGCGCACACGCACGCGCACACACACACACACACACACACACACACACACACACACACACACACACACACACACACACACACACACACACACACACACACACACACACACACACACACACACACACACACACACACACACACACACACACACACACACACACACACACACACACACACACACACACAGAGAGAACAAAAUGUCAGUUAUAGCACAGCACAUGUGCACUGUAUGUGCAUGCUAUGCCACGCAUAUACAUACACACUAUCUCCUGGCAGUAGUGCAGCUAAAGUGUGAAAUGUAAUGUAAAGGCUGGGUUUGGUGUACGGAAGUCCCUCGGCCCCAUGAUGCUUCAGCCCUGUCACCCAAGCUCUCAGUGCUAUGUAGCACAUCAGACAGAAAUAGCAAGCGUGACGUGUGUUUUGGUGCCAGAAAUCUUAGCCUGAAAUGAUCAGCCUUACCCCUCUUUGGGGUUAUAAAUAAAGAGUGAGAGAGAGGAGGUGUUGGUUCCUCUCUCUGUCUCUCUGUUUCUUUUAUCUUGCCCAGGCCUGUUAUAGUCUCCCAAUCAAAUAUCAUAUAUGGAAUAUCAAAUUGGGAAUUUAUUCUGAAUUGCUCCCUUAGAGACAGACCAUUGGCUUUAGGCAAUUUCUUUAAUUUUUUGUAAGUGACAAAGCGUGAUUCUGAUUCCAGGGCUGUUUGCCACACUGUGUGUGUGUGUGUGUGUGUGUGUGUGUGUGUGUGUGUGUGUGUGUGUGUGUGUGUGUGUGUGUGUGUAAAUGAGAGCCCAUCUUACAAGUUGGCACCUCCACGAGCUACAUGAAGGUAUUUUAACAAGGCAUCUCGUUGGCCAUCACUCCUCUGUCCUCGCCAGGCCGCUGUGUCAGGCCAGACUGUUCCCCUUGAGGUCCACAGAAUAAAGUAUGAAAAAGGAGACAUUUACCCUCUUCGCGUUACUUCCCUUUCCCCUGCUUCCCUCCCUGACACUCCUCACAGGCCGACACUGUGUGACGGCGCUUGGCACAGCAUGUUCUCCGCUGGACAGGCUAUUCAUGAGAGCUGAGAGAGACAGAUGACAGACAGUAAGAAGGAGAACACAAGAACAGACAGCUGAACUGUAGCCAUGGCUCCCCUGACGUCAGCAGGCCAAGUUGUCACAGCCACUCCGAUCCCCAACAAAAAGAUUGUGCAUCAGCAAGGAAGACUUCCAGGAUUCUUUCGAGUCAAACAACUUUCCUUGAAAUGCUUCUGUAUGCCGGCGCUAUGAUGGUGUCUUCACACCCACACAAUAUACACACAUUGAGCAUGAAGAUGUACCAUUACAUGUCCACACUGCUCUAUAUACACUUCAUGCUUAUUUAUGACAUCUAGGUUCCAGCAGCAUCUGUUUUCGUGGCUUUGAUCGUGCUAAGGGUGCUGAUAUUGAAUGAGUUACAAUAGUGAGUGCUUUAAAUAUGUGUGCAUGUGUGUAUACACGUGCAUGAAGGUGUCAGUUCAAAUCCAGACUGAAUUUAGACCUCUUCUGACAAAAAAAACAACUCAAUUUGAGGUGACAAAAUUUGAGUAUUAUAUUUAUGAAUUGUAUUUGAGAAAAUACUACAUGGUUUUUAAGGCAUGGCAAGAAAAAUUUUACAAUGAGAAAGAAAGUCUGUAACUCUAAGAUCAUUCUUGAGAAUAAAUUAGUACAAAAGUGUCCAUUAUAGGCCUCUGUAGCUUUUUAUCUGAAUCAAGGUAUUUUGUUAAAACAUUUGUUUUUACAGUUUAUUAUUGCAAUUUUUGAUAUAUAUAUAUAUAGCGUCACAGAAAUGUUUUUGAUGUGACAAAAGGGCAUUGGAGGGGGCAUGAUGCUUUACUUGUUUUAUGAAUUAAAACAGUAUUUUUGUUUACAUUAUGUAGAUUUUUUAAUUCUUUGAUGAGUAUUAUCUUAUUAGUUUUAAAUAAAAUGUUUUUUUUAGUAAUGUAUGAUAAUAUUGCAUUCACAUAUAGGCCUUAACUGGCCUCGUUUAGCUCUGUACAUUGAAAGUUCCUGCCCUAGUUGCUAGGCAGACUUGAGAGCCUCUAUUCACGACAAGCUGGAUAUACUGUAUCUUCCAUGCAUGUGUGAAAAUGAGCAUUACAUCUGUCUGAAUGAGCUUCUGGUGGCUGACAUAAUGUCUUCUUGACCGUCUGAGGCAUGUGCGAAUCUCACACCACUUCCUGCCUCUUCUCUCCCACACACACCUGUCCCAUGUCCUGUGCCCUCUGCCCCCUAGGCCGCUACUCUGCCCGGACAAGCCUCUCAUUCAUUGGAGCAGGGCUUGGAGGUCCGCACUAACAUCCUCAGCAUGUGUCAGUUGCUACUGCGACGAACUGAAAAUAGAUGGUUAACAACCACUUGUAUUACUGUGUAUGUGUGCAUGUCUCAUAAGAAAUGUGGAUGAAGGAGGGGCCGGACCACCCUGUUCAAAAGGUUAAACAUUAGAGGGACAGGCGACCUGAAACAGAGAUGUUUUACAGCUGUUUUACAUGCUUCUCCGGGCCUUCUCUUUGCAUUGUGUUCUACGAAUUCUCUCGUUAAAACUUAACAGACCAAAGAAGUUUGCAUGUCUCAAACAACAUGCAUUUUAUUGUACUUCCAAGUUCUACAGUGUUUGCAUUUUUCUUCACUCUUUAAAAGGAUGGCCCCCUGGAUGGCAUCCACCUGCACCAGACAUGUGAGUGCACAGUUUCAUAUACAAGCUGGGAGGAUGGACACCUGUUUUAUCAUGAUCUGUUAGUGUUGAAUGUACUUUUAGAAGCUUAGGACACAACUUCGAUGCAGACAAAUCAAUAUUUAAGGCACCUCAGACAUUACCAGAAUCGAGUCCUGUCUUUCUGUAUGUGACAAUUAAAUAAUACCUAAGAGCCUACUCUCAAACAACUUUGUCUAUAACAUUUCAUAAGAGCAUUUUCUGACUUUUCUAAGCAUCCCCUGGGGGUGUUGACAUCUUAAAUUAUGGAUUCAAUGGCCAGCCCCCAUGUGUACUUUUAAUUCCCACCACUCUGCACUUCCAUUUUUCAUGCACUUUAUAUACAAAGUACAAAACGUUCCAUCUGUUGGACCGGCAGGGAGUGUCACAAGGUCUCGAUACAGCUCGCUCUGUCUUCGUCCACCUGUCCGAACUGUCAGUGUGCCGGCGUCCGUCCAUUGAAAUGGCCAUCUCAAAUGCCGGAUGAUGAGUGCGGCGGUACGAGAGAUGGGGCCAUCAAGGACAGCCAGGAGGGCCCUAAAGGGUUCUUGAGAAUUCCAGACCUCUCCAUGAAAAUAGAAUGGGGCCCAAAUAUCUCCCCUUUGAAAGUCGACCCGCGAGGCUCGCCUUUCAAAACAAGAGAGGGGUGUUCUCGUGGGAUUAGCUGGUGUUGCCCGGCAGAGGUGACUAUAGUGGUCUAUUUAUCGUGUGACAAAUGACCAAUUUUAAUUUAAUUUA
rnacentral:lncRNA from 1 species